rnacentral:rRNA from 1 species
GACGAACGCUGGCGGCGUGCUUAACACAUGCAAGUCGAGCGGUAAGGCCCUUUCGGGGUACACGAGCGGCGAACGGGUGAGUAACACGUGGGUGACCUGCCCUCAGCUCUGGGAUAAGCCUGGGAAACCGGGGUCUAAUACUGGAUAUGACUCCAUGACGCAUGUUGUGGGGUGGAAAGCCUUGUGCGGCUGAGGAUGGGCCCGCGGCCUAUCAGCUUGUUGGUGGGGUGAGGCCUACCAAGGCGACGACGGGUAGCCGGCCUGAGAGGGCGACCGGCCACACUGGGACUGAGACACGGCCCAGACUCCUACGGGAGGCAGCAGUGGGGAA